GCUAGAGUAGAACAUUUGUGCUGGCCAGAUUCAAGCCCACGAAGCCUGCUUCUAGAUCUGUGCUCUUAGCCACCUUACCACCGAAGAGAAUUCCAGACAAGUUUCUCAGAGAGGGCUCCUUGGAAAGACAUCUGGAGGGGAUUCCAAGUAGCAAAAAAGGACCUGGACUUGGAGACAAGCCCCACAGAAAGGACGGGAAGGCAGGGAGUCUUCAGUGGAACAGCAGACUCUACUGCUGCCCCUGGGAUCUGGUUCUCUUCUGCUUCUGGACACAGGAAGGAUGGAGAACAUAAGCUCAACAGGGCAGAAAUCCAGCCACCUUUGUACGCCACCGCGAUCCUGGUACCCAGCACGUGGCGGGUCACACGGGGGCACACAAUCAGUGCGUGGUGAAGAGUGGGUGAGCCUGCCGGAUCGCAUGUGGUGCAUUCAAAAGGCCAAAGGGGCUCAGUGCCAAGCUCAUGCCCUCCCUGGAUAUAGCCUCGGCGUCUGUCCCACAGCCAUUCACCGACUUCUUUGCCUUUCCCCUCCCAGUGACAUCGUGAAACUUACAUGGUUUGCCCUUUCGGCCCACUUUACAGGAAGAGGAUAUCCUGCAGAAAUUAAAGAAAGGUGGGAUGUUU
rnacentral:lncRNA from 1 species